rnacentral:rRNA from 1 species
GAUGAACGCUGGCGGCGUGCCUAAUACAUGCAAGUCGAGCGAACAGAUGAGGAGCUUGCUCCUCUGACGUUAGCGGCGGACGGGUGAGUAACACGUGGAUAACCUACCUAUAAGACUGGGAUAACUUCGGGAAACCGGAGCUAAUACCGGAUAAUAUAUUGAACCGCAUGGUUCAAUAGUGAAAGACGGUUUUGCUGUCACUUAUAGAUGGAUCCGCGCCGCAUUAGCUAGUUGGUAAGGUAACGGCUUACCAAGGCAACGAUGCGUAGCCGACCUGAGAGGGUGAUCGGCCACACUGGAACUGAGACACGGUCCAGACUCCUACGGGAGGCGGCAGUAGGGAAUCUUCCGCAAUGGGCGAAAGCCUGACGGAGCAACGCCGCGUGAGUGAUGAAGGUCUUCGGAUCGUAAAACUCUGUUAUUAGGGAAGAACAAAUGUGUAAGUAACUAUGCACGUCUUGACGGUACCUAAUCAGAAAGCCACGGCUAACUACGUGCCAGCAGCCGCGGUAAUACGUAGGGCGCGAGCGUUGUCCGGAAUUAUUGGGCGUAAAGGGCUUGUAGGCGGUUGGUCGCGUCUGCCGUGAAAUCCUCUGGCUUAGCUGGGGGCGUGCGGUGGGUACGGGCUGACUUGAGUGCGGUAGGGGAGACUGGAACUCCUGGUGUAGCGGUGGAAUGCGCAGAUAUCAGGAAGAACACCGGUGGCGAAGGCGGGUCUCUGGGCCGUUACUGACGCUGAGGAGCGAAAGCGUGGGGAGCGAACAGGAUUAGAUACCCUGGUAGUCCACGCUGUAAACGUUGGGCACUAGGUGUGGGGGCCACCCGUGGUUUCUGCGCCGUAGCUAACGCUUUAAGUGCCCCGCCUGGGGAGUACGGCCGCAAGGCUAAAACUCAAAGGAAUUGACGGGGGCCCGCACAAGCGGCGGAGCAUGCGGAUUAAUUCGAUGCAACGCGAAGAACCUUACCAAGGCUUGACAUGCACGGCGGCACUGCAGAGAUGUGGUGGCAUUUAGUUGGUCGUGUGCAGGUGGUGCAUGGUUGUCGUCAGCUCGUGUCGUGAGAUGUUGGGUUAAGUCCCGCAACGAGCGCAACCCUUGCCCUAUGUUGCCAGCACGUGAUGGUGGGGACUCGUGGGGGACUGCCGGGGUUAACUCGGAGGAAGGUGGGGAUGACGUCAAAUCAUCAUGCCCCUUAUGUCUUGGGCUUCACGCAUGCUACAAUGGCUGGUACAGAGGGUUGCGAUACUGUGAGGUGGAGCGAAUCUCUUAAAGCCAGUCUCAGUUCGGAUUGGGGUCUGCAACUCGACCCCAUGAAGGUGGAGUCGCUAGUAAUCGCAGAUCAGCAACGCUGCGGUGAAUACGUUCUCGGGCC